AACAAAGAGGAAUGCAUCACAAGCGCAUAAGGCAGUGACGACAUUCUAUAACGACAUCACCUCUGAAUAUCACGGCCUCGACAAGAUCGGGCUGUGCUGAGGACCUACAUAGGAAGAACUGAGCCUCGCAUGUUGGAUACCUGUGGCAACGACUGGCACACAUCUUGGGUGGUUGCAUUCAUUGCGCAUGGCAUUGGGCAGUGACGAUAUUCUAUAACGACAUCACCUCUGAACACCACAGCCUCGACAAGAUCGAGCUGUGCUGAGGACCUACAUAGGAAGAACUGAGCCUCGCGUGUUGGACACCUGUUGGCUAGGACUGGCACACAUCUUGGGUGGUUGCAUUCAUUGCGCACGGCAUUGGGCAGUGACGAUAUUCUAUAACGACAUCACCUCUGAGCACCACAGCCUCGACAAGAUCGAGCUGUGCUGAGGACCUACAUAGGAAGAACUGAGCCCUUUCGUCUUGGAGGACGUCUGUGUUGGGGCGGGUACUUGGGACGAAAGAAUGCGUGCCAAGGGCCAGGAGGGCUCAGAAAGGCAAUGGGCCGGGCAGCGACGACAGUCCUUAACGGCAUCGUAUCCUAAUUUGCAGUUCCACCCGCAAGCCGGGCUGUGCUGAGGACCUACAUAGGAAGACCGGAGUCCCGGGCUGGUCCGUCCCUCCGCCUGCCGCAUUUCCACUCGUACCCGCCGCCUCUGACCUGCAUGGCCCAUCACUAAGACUAUGUGCUCGCACGCCACCACACAGGUUCUGGUCAAGGACGGCAACAAGCUGGACCUGGGCAACGCCAACCCCUUCGCCUCGCCCAGCGACGCCGGCAGCCUGGCCAGCGUGGCCUACAAGUGAGUGCGCGCGCGCGUAUAUGGGUGUUUGGGUGGGUGUGGAUGCUCGGGUCGGUGGGCGGCGAGGGCCAUGCCAGGCGUGGGGGGGGGGGUGGCAGCGCACCGCCUGAAAUGUGCGGAACGGAAGGCAGGGGGCCGGGAGGGGCAGACAUGGUGCUGUUGAAGCUGAUGAUGGGUGUCAGCAGGUUUUGCUCGGCCCGUGCCACCCAGUAUCAACACCACUACUUUAUCCCCACGGCGUCACGGCCCCUACCCUCCCAGGUACCGCAAGUGGAAGCUGUCUUCGGCCGCGGACGCGCCCGAGAUUGUGGUGCGCUGCGAGGUGGAUGGUGCGAUCAAGGGGCCAGAGGGCGCGGCGCCGCAGACGGUGCUCAUUAAGGCGCUCAACGAGUACGACAUCAAGGGCCAGGUGGGGACGGUGUUGGUGGGGUGGGAGCCAGGGAGGGAGAGGAGGGCCGGCCCGGAGGUAGCAGGGGCGGCCCAAGGUGGUUGCCGGUUUCGCGGUGCAGUGGCUUUGGCAUGUGGGUUUAGGUACACAUGAACUGGCUCCAUAUUUUUUCCGACCGGCCUAACGUCGCCCCUCCCCUUUGGGUUACCCCAGGACUACCGCAAGCGUCUGGAGAACCAGAAGGGUGCUGUGGUGCUGUCCGAGACCAAGAACAACAAGUUCAAGGUAGGCGUGGGGGAUUGUGUGGAUGGAUAGUAGCGGACGACGAAGGGCCAGAGGGCCAGACUACAUUACCAAACGAUCCUUGCCGUAUCGCCUUCCGCGAUCACGCCCGCAGGUGGCCAAGUGGGUGGCGAGCUCGCUGCUGUCGGGCGCCGACCAGAUCAAGCUGGGCUUUGUCAGCCGCGCCACGCCCCGCGACGUGUCCAACCACGUCGUGCUGGCCAUGCAUGUGAGUGUGGGGUGGGAAGGGCUCCGAGGGUAUGAGGCUGAAGGGAGACUGGAGGGUUGGGCGGCAAGCGGUGAUAGGGGUGGGCAGGUGUUUUCAGGCAAACCACCCGCGCGGGCAGUGACGACAUUCUAUAACGACAUCACCUCUGAAUAUCACGGCCUCGACAAGAUCGAGCUGUGCUGAGGACCUACAUAGGAAGAACUGAGCCUCGCGGUUUGGCUGCCUGUUGGCAAAGACUGGCUUACAUCUUAGGUCGUUGCAUUCAUUGCGCACGGCAUUGGGCAGUGACGAUAUUCUAUAACGACAUCACCUCUGAGCACCACAGCCUCGACAAGAUCGAGCUGUGCUGAGGACCUACAUAGGAAGAACUGAGCCCUGAAUCCACGAGUCCCUGCACGACAUAUCAUCCCCACGCCCACGACCCACUUGGUGCACCAGCUCCUGACGCCCGCCUCCUUCCCGCGCCCCCGCACCUCUAACCCUCCUCGCGCCCACACAGGC
rnacentral:lncRNA from 1 species